CCACUACCGAUUCUCUAUAAUUUCCGAAAUAGCUUUGUAUGAUCGCCAAAUUAGGGUUUGGGGGCGUUGAUGCAACCAUAUGUUUUGAAUAUGGCAGUUUAUGCAUUAUAUAUCUUUAUGCUCCAAUGAUGAUAUGUCCCUCAGUCCACAAAAGGAUUGAGACAGAGCAUGGCGUUUACAAGUGAUUGACAUUGGCUUAAAGAGACUUUUUCCCAUAACCGAUUCUCUCGGGGCUGUAAAUGUACAACAGAAUGGCCCACAUGCUUCAGGCUCUCCCUUUUUUAUCCCACAGAUUCAUAUCACUGGAUGGUGGAUUAAUAAGUUUGUUGCGCAUGGCCUAUGCCCUGGUUGAGGAAAGCCCAACUAUGUUCCAGAAUAUAUGCAGCUUAACGGAUGGCUCCUAUCAGGUUAGUUAUGACUAAAAAUCAUUUUGUUCAUUAAUAAGUUUCCUGGCAAGUAGUUAACAUAAGGCUAUGAUUUUAGAACUGGUGUUAUUAAGUUGAUAUAUAAAUGGAUAUUCAAGUUGUGACCCUUGAUGAUACUAAUUAAAGAUGGUGGCAUUUGUUGGCAUGAUCAUGUUUCUUCUCAUGUAAACUUGAAACUUGAUGAAAGUUGGUGAUUAUGAGUUGGAAUGUUGACCAAAAUUGAUUAAAACUUGAAAUUUAAUGAUUUUACCUACUGGGGAAACUUGAAUACAAAGUAAUAUAGAAAAUUUAUUUAAAAGAAAGUCAUUUUAACUUUACUUCGUCAUAUCCUCAAAUGGCAUUCCUAAGAAUAUUGAAUCGGAUGAACAUAGAAAACCGAGAGUUAUUUUUUACUUGAGCAUGUCUCAAUCUUUAACAAGCAAAUUUGGAUUUAUUAUUGCAACCUGAUUUGGUAAUAUUGAUUUGGUGAUUUGCUAUAAACUAAUUUAGUAAUAAUUAUUUGGUGAUUUAUUGCUUGGCUCACAACUGACUAUUUUUCAAAAUUUGUGCUUUUUUUAGUUUUGUUUUUUGCAUACUUUAUGGAUGAUUUGUUGUGCUGUUUUUUCAUAAAACGUAAUAAAUUAUUCAGAAGUUGCAUUGCUCUCACCAUUUUAAUAUACCCAUCCAUGUUUCGUGUAUGUGUGUGUAUCGAUUUGUUAGACCUAAUAGAAGAUUGCAAUGGAAUUGUUUCGUUUUGUAGUUAAGUGUGAAGAUUUAGAAAUCUUAAUGCCAAUUUGUUCACUUCCCGGUUGAUAUUGUUUUAGUUGGCAUCAUUGAUUUGUUGUUGUGGUAUGUUAUAUAUAUAUAUAUAUAUAUAUAUUGUAAAGAUUGAGAUAUAAGUUUAUAAUCACUGUUUUAUUUGGUUGAAUAAUUCUAAAUUUGUCUCAUUUUUAUAUAGAAUAAAUGUACCAGUUUUCUACUUUAAUUUUUAUGGAAGGCGUGCUUUAGAUGGUAUUUUAACGUUAUCUUAUUAAUUUCGCAAAAAUAACGUUAAAAGCGGGGGACAAUUAAUCAUGCAUCAUGUGAUGGUGUUAAUAGCCGAAAGACAAAAAAAGGGUACAUGAACUAAUCGGUCUUUGAUUACCUAAGAAUGAUGAGAACUCUGCAACCUUGAGGAAAACUGUUAAAAAAGAUGGACAACCUGUUGAUGCAAUCUAAGCCGAAGAAUAAGCGUCCUAAUUUAGUUUGUAGGGCUCAUGGAGUCUUGCUUAAUAAGUCUUGAUGAAUUAUUGGGUAUGUUUGAAAUUGGGUUUUAAGUUGUAAGUAUGACAUGGUACUUCUGCCUUUCAACUGGUAUUUCUUUAUUCCUAAUUUUUGUUACGUCUGUACUUAUUUCUAAUGAUUUUUUUCUUAGAAAUUGCACACAUUGUACGUGCCUACAUAGGUAGCAAACGGGGUGGGACCGAGAGAUGCUUAUGAGCAAGGUCAAAUUAGGUGUUUUGAUUUAAGAAGAAAAAGGUUCAGUUGACCUAAACACUUUCUGUCCAAAUUUUUAAAGUUUUGUAAGUAAAUAGCAUGUCAGGAAAAGUAUUCGCAGUUUAUGUUUUUUUUCAAUAAAGUGGUUUAGGAGGUUCUGUGCAUGAAAAACACUUGGGAUGAAUUUGAGUCAGCUGGUUUGAUUAAAUUUUAGUUUGACCCAUUAGUGGUAAAAUAUAAGUGGUUCAAAUUUCGAGUAUCAACUGUUUUAGCUUUUCAUUUAAAAUGAAAUGACCAUUGUAUUGAUUGUAGAUGGAUAUAAGACCAUUGUUUUGAUUGUAUAGAAGGCGGUUAGAUCGACUUAUAAGGACCUUCUAAAAGCGAAUGUUGAUCUUAAGGAGUUUUUGGUUCCGGAUGUGGGGAAAGGAGACAAAGUAAGGUUCUGGCCGGACGAGUGGGUGGUAGAAAGCAGGUUGAAGGACAGGUUCCCUCAAAUUUUUGCCAUGGUGAAGCAUAAAGAUGUGUCCAUUAUGGACAACAAGAAGGUGGGUGGUAUCUGCUGGGAUCUUGAGUGGAACCCCACACUCACCUCUGCUGCGGAAAGAAACGACUGGGAAAGGCUGUCAUGUUUUUUGGGCCAACAUAAUAUUAGUAAAACAAGGGUCUUACUGGUGGAUGGAGAAGCGAUGUUGUAUCUCUGUCCUGAGCAAGGUGAACUGGAUUAAAUUCAAAGGAAUGGACUAUGAUUAAUUUUUGUUUCAGUUUACUGUAGUUUUUCUUUUCUGUAUUGUUGUCCCUCUGGUGUAUGAU